GAUGAAGAACGUAGCGAAAUGCGAUAAGUAGUGUGAAUUGCAGAAUUCAGUGAAUCAUCGAAUCUUUGAACGCACAUUGCGCCCUUUGGUAUUCCAAAGGGCAUGCCUGUUCGAGCGUCAUUUGUACCCUCAAGCUUUGCUUGGUGUUGGGCGUCUUGUCUCUAGCUUUGCUGGAGACUCGCCUUAAAGUAAUUGGCAGCCGGCCUACUGGUUUCGGAGCGCAGCACAAGUCGCACUCUCUAUCAGCAAAGGUCUAGCAUCCACUAAGCCUUUUUUUCAACUUUUGACCUCGGAUCAGGUAGGUAUACCCGCUGAACUUAAGCAUAUCAAUAAGCGGAGGA
rnacentral:misc_RNA from 1 species